rnacentral:rRNA from 1 species
AGAGUUUGAUCCUGGCUCAGGACGAACGCUGGCGGCGUGCUUAACACAUGCAAGUCGAACGAUGAAGCCGGAGCUUGCUCUGGUGGAUUAGUGGCGAACGGGUGAGUAACACGUGAGUAACCUGCCCUUGACUCUGGGAUAAGCGUUGGAAACGACGUCUAAUACCGGAUACGAGCUAGGACCGCAUGGUCACUAGCUGGAAAGAAUUUCGGUCAAGGAUGGACUCGCGGCCUAUCAGUUAGUUGGUGAGGUAACGGCUCACCAAGACGACGACGGGUAGCCGGCCUGAGAGGGUGACCGGCCACACUGGGACUGAGACACGGCCCAGACUCCUACGGGAGGCAGCAGUGGGGAAUAUUGCACAAUGGGCGCAAGCCUGAUGCAGCAACGCCGCGUGAGGGACGACGGCCUUCGGGUUGUAAACCUCUUUUAGCAGGGAAGAAGCGAAAGUGACGGUACCUGCAGAAAAAGCACCGGCUAACUACGUGCCAGCAGCCGCGGUAAUACGUAGGGUGCAAGCGUUGUCCGGAAUUAUUGGGCGUAAAGAGCUCGUAGGCGGUUUGUCGCGUCUGCUGUGAAAACCCGAGG